AUGUUGGCAAUGAAUAAUGAGCAUCCAUUGAACAUUAUGACUGAUCAAGACCAGGCAAUGGCUACAGCCAUCUCAAUGGUAUUUCCAGAUUCAACGCACAGAUGUUGCAAGUGGCACGUCUUCCGGGUUGCAAGGACAAAACUAGGGAGGAUGCUGGGCAAGGAUGAGCCAUUUGCAGAAGCAUUUUAUGGUUGCAUUAAUGGUUCAGGUACCGUUGAGGAGUUUGAAGAACGGUGGAAGCAGAUGGUCGAGUUGUUUGGUGUGGCUGAUAAGAAACACCUCAAAAACAUGUGGAACAGCAGGGAGACGUGGGCUCCUGUGUACUUUAGGAAUAAGUUCUUCCCAUUCACAGGAACAACUGGACGCUCCGAGGGCCUGAAUUCCUACUUCAAGACUUUAAAUCAUCAUGGAGACUCGGUUUGGACAUUUGUGCAACAGUUUGAGCUUUGCCAGGAGCUAAUGCUUGAUCGUGAAGACAAUGCGGGCUUCAUCAAUGAAGCGACGAGGCCGCCACUCUGGGGCAAUUACAACAUUGAAAAGCAGGCUGCAGAUUUCUAUACCAGAGAGGUAUUUUCCAAGUUUCAGAAACUAUUGGCUAAAUCAACAGGCUAUGGGCUACAAUACCAGCUGCAAGGGAAUGUCGUCUGGUUUCGCCUUGUUGCAAAUGAUGUCAUCAACCAUAAAGUGUACACGGUGUGUGUUGCCCCUGAAGAUCAUACAUACAUGUGUAGUUGCAACAUGUUUGAGAUGUGUGGGCUGAUCUGCCCACAUAUCAUACGUGUCAUGGUGCACCUGAACGUGCAAGCGAUACCUGCGAAUUACAUGCUUCCAAGAUGGUCUAAGAGAGCAACCGACCUUGCACUUGAACCAGGCGAUGGGCAUAGAGCUAUGCAUUUUGGCGUCCCCACGACAAACACCCUAAAGUUUAACUCUCUUUGCCGGAAGUUUGGGAAACUUGCUUCAGAUGCAUGCUUCAAUGAUGAAGCUUAUAGUUUUGUCUCUGGGCUAAUUGAUCAGGGCAGUGUUGGGGUUGCUGCGAUUAAAGCUAGAGCGACCGAUGGGGUUGCAGGAGGCGAAGAAGCGCAAGGUCGUGCAGCAAAUGAACAAGUCUCAGGGGGUCCAAGUACAGGGCAGCAGGAUCCACCCCCCGUAGGACUACGAAACCCACCAAAGUCAGCAAAAAAGGGGAGGCCAAAAGAAAAAGAGAAGCGUAGGAAGCCACUAAUUGAGCUUCGAGAAGAUGAAAUGAAGAAGAAAGCAAAGAAGGACGCAGCGAAAACGAAGAAAGCUCCAAAGCCAAUGGAAAAGACGACUCCAUGCAAAUACUGUGAAGAUGAGGAUCACAAUGUGAAGAACUGCCAACUCCUUGCCGCUUUUCUUGCUGCGAGUGCGAGCGCGAAAGCUCCGGGUGUCCGCCCAAUCCUUACACUUUAG
rnacentral:rRNA from 1 species